UACGUAGGGAGCAAGCGUUGUCCGGAAUCAUUGGGCGUAAAGCGCGUGUAGGCGGCCCGAUAAGUCCGCUGUGAAAGUCCAGGGCUCAACCCUGGGAUGCCGGUGGAUACUGUCGGGCUCGAGUCCGGAAGAGGCGAGUGGAAUUCCUGGUGUAGCGGUGAAAUGCGCAGAUAUCAGGAGGAACACCAAUGGCGAAGGCAGCUCGCUGGGACGUGACUGACGCUGAGACGCGAAAGCCAGGGGAGCGAACGGG
rnacentral:rRNA from 1 species